AUAGUAGGUGCUCAAUAUGUGCUUGUUGAAUAAAUGUGUCAAUGUUUGAUGUACAGACCUUUUAUUAUGUUUGAUUUGCUGCCAGUGCUGCCUCCAAACACAGGAGUGCUUCAUGAGAUGUUCACAAAAGCUCUUAAAAUAUUCCACAAAAAUCUUAAAAUAUUUCAUGAGUUUUCUUUCCUGUAUUUUUAUAGCAGCAUCUGGAAUUUAGCCUGCAUAGGACCCUCUGUAAGCUGACCCUGUUUAUCUAUUCAGCUUUACUUCUCCCCUCUCUCCACUUUGUAUUUUAUUCUCUACUACUUCCAACUGAUUGUAAUUUGACCAGACUCCAGACUAUCUUAUGCCUCUUUGCUUUUGUUUACCUGUUACUUCUCUCUGGAAUUCCCUGCCCCUUCUUAAUUUUUCUGGCCAAUUCUCACUCUCUAGGACUCAGAGGUUUCUCCUCAGGAGACUUCCAUGAGUCUCAUGUUGAGUUAGGUGACCCCAAUCCUCUGUUCUUCAUAGUCAUUCGCGCAUUUAUCUAGCUCAGCAUUUGCCAUACUACAUUGAAAUUAUUUCCUUAUGUGCCCAUCACUCCCCGUAGAUUGCAAACUCCUAGAGAAGGGCUCAACAGUGAGUGCUGAGGCUGCACAGAGGAGGAAGGCAGCACAAUGAUGGAAGGCUUCCUAAAGAGAUAACACUAACAAAGUUGACCUUAGAAUUGGAGUGCCUGGGUUAGAACCCUGCUGGUACCACCUGCUUACUGCAUGCUUCUGAUGUGAGUUCAGGAGAAGACACUGGCAAGGACAGCAAAGAACAGGAGAACACUCUAGCUUCCCUGAUAGCAUUCAAGGCUCUUGAGUUUCUGCUUUCAAGUGACCCUCAGAAAUUCCUCCAUUCACUGCAGAGGUUCUGUUUCUCCUUGCUUUGUUCUGACUUUACGGCAGAACUAAGCUAAUGAGUUAGUUACUAUGGGUUAUCACUUGGAUUUGAAGAACCAUCAUUUCUAGGCAUUGCUGCUCAGAGUGGGUCUGCCCUCAGGGGAAGCUGUCUAACCAGAGCCUAACCCACUAGGGUUUUAUCAGAACCUAACUGACCUGAGGAAAAGAAAUACUCAACUCCAGCAAGCUCCAGCCUUCCAAAUGGAGGAGGAGAAAACCCAACUCCAGCCCACUUCAGCUAUCUUGUCCCACAUAAAGGGGAAGUGGAAGAAACCUGAGAAGCAGGCAUGAAGUUCACAGUCCAGAGUGUAUUCCACACCAUUUCAUAUUCCAUCGCAUUCCAUUCUACACAAUUCCACAUCUCCCCGGCCACAUCAGCCUGAGAGUAAUAAACAGACCUUGCCAUCGUAUCCCCUUUUGGAGACACAAGCCAGGAAGGAAGCUCUUCAGUGCAGCUGUGAAUAGAGAAAUGCUGGCUGAGGUUUUGGAGACACUGGGUGAUCAUUCCCAGUGAAAUUUUUAGAUCCCUGGGGACAUGAGCUGCUUUGUCUUUUCCAAGGACAGCAGACAGAGCAUGAAUGAGACCCCCAAAGAAGGGAAGCAAAUGAGACAAGCCCCACAAUUAUUCUGGCUUUUUGCCUAGAGACAAUCUAUGAACUGUGGGGCAAACAACAGAGAUCAAAACAGCUUGGCAAUCUGAGUUGAGGAUGAAGACACCAUUGGGGCAGAAGCAGCGAUAGCUCAAAUUUGUGGAGCAAAGUACCGGAGAAGAUAAACUGCUCCAAAUUCCAAGAGGCUGGGCAAAGAAAAACUUUGUGGAAAGAAGAAUUAUCAGGGAACUCUAAGCUGAAAAAUUGCCAGGGCUCACACAGACCUGGGGAAUUGGUUGAGUUUAUGCCACCUACAGGAUAGAGAACUUGCUGAAUGUUCAAGGAUUUUGUUACAGAUGCAAGAUGACACUUAAAGGGAUGCAAAACUAACAUCUCUGGAUUAGUCUUAAUAAAGUUUAAAAAUAAGCUUAGAAAAAGUCAAA
rnacentral:lncRNA from 1 species